CUAGACCUUAUCCAUCACUACACACACAAGAGAACCUUUUCCAUCACAUAAACUACCCUUCAUAAGUUCAAUUACCGUUUUUACUCUUUCUUCCAUCCAUAUUUUCACUUCCUCACAAACUUUUAAAACACAUUUCUUAUUCAUCAUGGAAAUAGAAAGUAGUUCUACUUAAACUUCGAGUCUCGAAGCUGUUACUUUUCACACUCCUCAAGCCACCAUCCUUUCCAUGUCUCCAUCAAGGACCCGUAUAUAAUGUUUUUUUACGUUACCUUUGUUUCUCCUCUCUUUUUGAAAUGCUAAUAAUUUUUUUGGUUUAUUUUUUCAGCGGAUCCAUUUGUUUCUCAAAAAAUUGUUGUUAAGCUAUUGGAGUUUGAGGGGAUGCGAAGAAUAAUAAUGCAAGAUUUUGUAGCACUCGAAAAAAGAACGGAAGAACUUACGACAUCAUUUUACAACAGUUUCUUGUUGUCGGAACUUUUUUCUUUUUCAAUCUCAGAAAUCUUACAUGCGAUUUAGCUUUCAAGAUCCUUGUAAUGAUCAUAUUCCUUUUUUUCCUUAACAUUUUUCGUGCUAAAAGAGAAGGCAACAGAAAAUUCGUUCUCCUGCAAGAGUGGAAUGAGUGUCUAGUGAGUAAUCGCACUAGCUUGAUUUAUUAAGCUAGUGUAGUAAGAGAUGUAGAACAAGAGAGGGGUGUAGUCGAGAGUGAGAAUGCGAAAGAGAAUGAGGAAUCUUUAAUCGCGAGAAGUGUAUUUCUUCGAUGAAUUUGAGCUAUCGAUUCAAAUCCUUAAAUGGGAUUUGCUACCGCACAACAAAGAUACGAGUCAAUAGUACAAUUUGUGAUAAUAGGCACGGGUGACUCAAGGUAAGGCUAAAAGCCUUUUCUUUAGGCCCCCAAAAUUUUGAGGCUUCAAAAAUUUUAAUAGUAAACUAUAUGAUUUCAACUUCCCUUGAAAUAAUAAUGAAGAUUAUAAAAUACAUUUUAAAAAAUUAUCUAAAAAAAAAAGAGAAAGCUAUCUCAUUUUUACAAGAAAUAUUUUAGAGCUUUGAACUAAACAACUCAAACUUUAUAGUAAUAGAUAAAAUUUUAACAACAUCCAAGUUAAUGCAUUGUAAACAAAUGGCUAAUAUCUUAUUUACUAGAAUUAGUCCUUAGUUUUAUUAAUAAUUAUAUUAAUAUGUGAAGUUAAAUGUUAUAUGUCUUUUAAAAAUACUACACCAAAACAACUACUAUGCAAGAAUAAAUUAGGCAACUCUAAAUUUUUAUAGUAGUAUUUUUUUUAUAUAUGUUUACAUAUGUAAGACCUCUUAUUAAAACUUAACUUUAGGCCACUAAUUUUAUUAAGGAGAUUCACAUUCUUAGUGUGGCAUUUAUAAUCGUGAUAUUGAUUGUGGUGUGUUGAAGAUUUUUAUGUUCUUAUUUUUCAUAUUAAUUUACUGAAGAUUCUCUCAUUAAUUGUUGUUUUGACUAGGAUGGGGUUAUACAAUAUUGAAGGGAUCGAAAAAGAUGUAACGUGGAAGGGAUGAAGAACUUUUUGACGUGGGAUCGAAGAACCAAUUGUAUGUAGUUGUCCUAAAAACUGUUAGAAUUGUUGUUUUAUUAACUAGUGCGUGAUAGUAUUAAAAAUAUUAAUCAUUUCAAAUUAUGGUCUGAUUAUAUGAGUG
rnacentral:lncRNA from 1 species